GGCAAAUUUCCAAUAUACUUUAAAAACAGUUUAGGUGAGAUAUUCAAAUGAAUUUCAAUUUCCAACCGUACACUGCUUUUAAAUUAUGUUUUGUACUUAAGUAAUUGUCCAUUAACCUGGAAACCCUUUUCCACUCUUUUUUGCACCUUAUUCCAUAACAGUUUGAGCCAUAACUCCCAAAGACACUUCUUACCAUCCCUUUGUGGUAUUUCAAUAUCCAAAGUCUAAAUACAUGGUUAGAUUCAGCAUAUCAAAGAACCCCAAGAAUUCAAUAUUUGAUGAAAUCAAAAUAAGUUCAUUUUGGACCCUUUAGACCUCACUGUGGACCAAUUUGAUAACCGGGCCCAAAUAUCAUCAAUCUUAAUACAUGGUUAGAUUCAGCAUAUCGAGGAACCCCAUAUAUUUAAUUUUGUUGAAAUCAAACAAAGUUUACUUUUGGACCCUUUGGACCUUAAUGUAGACCAAUUUGAAAAUGUGACCAAAAAUUAAGAAUCUAAAUACAUGGUUAGAUUCGGCAUAUCAAAGAACCCCAAUGGUUCAACUUUUGAUGAAAUCAAAUAAAGUUUAAUUUUGGACUCUUUUGGCCCCUGAUUCCUAAACUGUUGGGACCAAAACUCCCAAAAUCAAUCCCAACCUUCCUUUCAUGGUCAUAAACCUUGUGUUUAAAAAUUUCAUAGAUUUCUAUUUACUUAUGCUAAAGUUAGAGUGCGAAAACCAAAUGUCUUUGGACGACGCCAACGUCAUACCAAUAUACCAAUUUUCAAUUUUUGCGGUCGUAUAAAAAUGCUUCUUUUUGGCCCCUUAUUCCUAAAUGUUCAGGGAUGUUAACCCCAAACUGAAUCAAAGACUUCCUUUUGUUAUAUGGAACCUUGUGGUACAAUGUCAGAGAGAUCCAUACAGUUAUACAUUAGUUAUUGUCCCGAACACAAAAAUGCUGUUGUUUUUUGCCCUUUUUGGCCCUUAAAUACUAGACUGUUUGCCCUGAAACCCUUUAAAUAAAUCCCAAACUUAUACUUUAUAGAAUGGACAUUGUGGUACAAUAUUAGAGCAAUUGAAAUUCUUAUACACAACUUAUUGUCCUGAAAAUAGAUAAAUUCUUGUUUUGGGCCCCUUUGGGCCCCUAAUUCUUAAACUGUUUGGACUAUAACCCCCAAAAUCAAUCCCAACCUUCUUUUAGUGGUUACAAACAUUAUGUUAAAAUUUUAUUGAUUUCUAUUUACUUAUACUUAAGUUAUUAUCCAGAAACCAUUCGUCUUCAGACAACGCUGACGAUGAUGACGCAGACGCCGCUGUCCCGGAUGUGAUACCAAUAUAUUCAAAUAUUUCUGUCUAUUCGAAAUAACAUAAAAAAUGUGGUGCACACUGUUAAAUAACCCGCUACAUGCGUUAUUCAGUGUGCACCAAAUUUUUUAUGUUAUUUCUUCAUAAACAGAAAAAAUAUUACAGUCAUUCCUUAAAUAUAUUAAUUAUUUUGUCUGGGGACAAAGAUGUAGUUGUUGAAAUAUGGAAAUCAGAUGAACCAUAACAAUGUAUUGGAACAAAUGCAAUUUCAACAGCUG
rnacentral:lncRNA from 1 species